GUGCACGUAAAAAGAAGAAAUUAGUCAAAUCUCACCUUCGAGUUCGAUAAGUCUAAGAUUAUCGAAUCGUGUUCAUUAUUUUUCUUCAUGAUUAGAUCUAAUUUCUUUGUAUAUAAUUUUCUCGAUAUUUUUUUUUUGUUCUUCGAUCGAUUGGGAAGAUUUUUAAUUUAUGACCAAAUAAAAAUUUGGAGGUUAAUGUAUAUUAUAUUAUCAAAUGUAAUACAACAGAAUUUGUGUAUUGGAAUUCGAACAUGUUGAUUAUCUAGAAAAUAAAUUGAAUUUGUGAGAGCGUGUGCAAAUCUCGACAAAAAUUUUGAAAAAUUGGAAGUGAUGGAAAUAAAUCAAUUAAGUGGGCAGAAAGUUAACUGUUAUUCUUUAAUCUUUUCGAAGCUAACAAGAUGAUACAUUCCAAGUAACUUUUCUCUUUGACCAAGGAGGACGAUAUUAUCGCGCGCGCAUGCACGAUACACGAUAUUUGCAAUUUCUGAUAAUCCAAUGGCACGUGAAAUAUCGUAUGGAUGGAAAAAAAAUGGAAUUAGGAGUCGGUGAAUUUGCAUGCUAUCAGGGAGGGGGAAUGGAGGAAAAAGACAAUGUUAAAAAUACGGAAUUCUUGUGCCGUGGGGACAUUCAGUUCACGAAUUCUUUUUUUUUUCUUUUUUAUUCGUAUUUCGUUGGAUGUUGCUGCUGUUUGUGCAGCUGGAAAACAGAACCUCCUCAACUGAGUGGUACUAAAAAAAGAAAGGGGACAAGAGGAAAUAUGGUUAAAUAUUGGGAAUACGUUUAUCUUCGAAUGCGAUUAAAAGUUUGAUGAAUGCUCUGCACUGAAGGGAGAGAUUAAAGGGCGAAUUCUAUAGUAUGUGUAUAUAUAUAUAUAUAUAUAUAUCUAAUCCGGUGAUGGACGUGGAUAGUGCACUCGUGAAAGGGAAAAAAAAGGAUUGCUUGUCGAUUAAAUCGAUGCGAAUUGUUUUAUUGUGGAAUUUAUGAUUUUUUUUAUAUAUUUGACAUUAAUAGAAAUUGUUCUAGAAUUAAAAUAUGAAUGUAAAAUUGGAUGAAUAAAAUAUCUUGGACUUCAAGAUUUUGAAUCUUUGGAAUAUGGGAUGAAGAGGAAAUUGAAUAAAUUAUUAAUUCUAAUUUUCUAAAUAUCUUUGAACAAGAAAGAAUUUAUUUAAAAAAAAAUCUUCAAUUACAGUAAUAUUGUUAUUUAUACAAUUUUUUACAAUUGGUUGUAAUAAAAACUAUCAAAAUUUUAAUAAUAAAUUUUAUAAAUUAUAAAUCGUGAUUGUGAAGAAAUUGAAAAGUAAUUAAUAAAUUGUCAUUCUACGAAUUAUUCUGAAAUGAAUUAAUAAAAGUAUUCUGGAACAAGAUGAAGAAUUCAAAGAAAAUGAACAAUUCCAUCCACAAUUUUAUUUUAGAAAAAUAAAACUUGCACAUGACCGUCGAAGAAUUAAAGUACUCUUCAAACAACCAGCCGUAACAAUAAAGAAUAAAGAGUCGAACAGCAGCAUCAUUCAUUCUACAAUUAAACAUUCUCACACAAUAUUUCUCCAUCGUGGAAAACUGUCGAGCCCUCUCCAAACUCUUAAUUUCCUCUGUCAACCAUUAUCAAACAUCGACGAAUUAUUCAAAUUAUAAAAUGUACACUUUCGAUAUACACUCUUUAGCAAAUAUCCUACAAAAGCUGAUUCAUGAUCGAAUCGUAUAAGCGAAAAAAAAAAACAAUGAAAACAUUGUUAAAAGAGAAAGAAAAAAAAAAAAAAAGAAAAAAGAAAAAUAGAAUUCCAUUAUGGACGUGUUUGCUAAUGGAAUUUCCGUUCUGAAUAAAUUUCACAACGAGCAGUCAUACCACAUCUUUCCACGUAACGUGGCGCUUUAAUGGAUUUUUUUAGGCGACUUCCGGUAUUAAAUGAACGUCGUUAAUGGCUCCAUAUUCGGUUUUUUUUCCUUUCGAGGAAAGAAAAAGUUUAAUAUUGUAAAGUUACAUUGCACCAAAGUUUUGUGGAUUCGGCAAAUUGGUUUGAUAGAUCGUAUUAGUGAGUAUCGAGUUUUUUUUUUUUUUAGGACAGUGUCCUAAAUUUAAUUGUGAUCCAUUAUGACGUUUUCUUCUUUUCGUUUCACGAAUCGAUUUCCCUGUCGCUUUGAUUAUUUUGAGGAAUUGGAACAUUUGUCAAAAUGCCUGGUUUUUUCUUCGAUAUAAUUGUAAUAUUAAAAAAUGUUAUUAAUGUUGUUACGAAUAAAUAAAGUUAGCAUAAGUCACUUA